rnacentral:rRNA from 1 species
CCAGACUCCUACGGGAGGCAGCAGUGGGGAAUAUUGCACAAUGGGCGAAAGCCUGAUGCAGCAACGCCGCGUGAAGGAAGAAGGGUUUCGGCUCGUAAACUUCUAUCAACAGGGACGAAAGAAAUGACGGUACCUGACUAAGAAGCCCCGGCUAACUACGUGCCAGCAGCCGCGGUAAUACGUAGGGGGCAAGCGUUAUCCGGAUUUACUGGGUGUAAAGGGAGCGUAGACGGCGAUGCAAGCCAGAUGUGAAAGCCCGGGGCUCAACCCCGGGACUGCAUUUGGAACUGUGUGGCUGGAGUGUCGGAGAGGCAGGCGGAAUUCCUAGUGUAGCGGUGAAAUGCGUAGAUAUUAGGAGGAACACCAGUGGCGAAGGCGGCCUGCUGGACGAUGACUGACGUUGAGGCUCGAAAGCGUGGGGAGCAAACAGGAUUAGAUACCCCCGUA